UCAGCAGCGUCUGCUUUGCAAAGCUUUAAGCUCUGUUGAGUACCAUUCCGGCCCGCCCCGGGCGGUGCUGGAGGCGACGGCCUCCGGAGAGCGUGUGCAAAUGUAUACUUUGAGGUGUGGCAGGUUCCCCCACCUCCGGUUUCAGGAUCGCCCUUUCUGGAGGUGACUUGGCCUCAUGCAUGCUCUCUCCAGCCGCAGGAGCUGGAGCUGGGAGCAGCUGCUCCAGGCAGCCCUCUCCAACUCCUCUUGACCCUCGCUCAGGGCAUCACACAUCUGCUGUCACAAUGUCCCUGUCACACACUUGUUCUCAACUCCAACAGAAGUUGCUUCCUCAAAGAGUCUUGUUAGGGCUUUGUAAUAAAUCGACAUUUCCUGCCUCCCCUAUCUUAUUUGGAACAGUGAUUCAGAUAUUUGAGUUCAUGUUUCCUGAGCUACCAUUUGCUGAGACCCCAAAUAAAGUCCUUUGGCGUUUCCA